rnacentral:rRNA from 1 species
UACAGAGGUCUCAAGCGUUGUUCGGAUUCAUUGGGCGUAAAGGGUGCGUAGGCGGCGCGGUAAGUCGGGUGUGAAAUCUUGGAGCUUAACUCCGAAACUGCAUUCGAUACUGCCGUGCUUGAGGACUGGAGAGGAGACUGGAAUUUACGGUGUAGCGGUGAAAUGCGUAGAUAUCGUAAGGAAGACCAGUGGCGAAGGCGGGUCUCUGGACAGUUCCAUGACGCUGAAGCAACGAAGGCCCAGGGGGAGCAAACGGG